rnacentral:tRNA from 2 species
GCCUCAAUAGCUCAGUCGGUUAGAGCAUCUGACUGUUAAUCAGGGGGUCCGCGGUUCAAGUCCGUGUUGGGGCG